GUUUGAUCCUGGCUCAGAGCGAACGUUAGCGGCAGGCUUAACACAUGCAAGUCGAGCGAGAAAGGGGCUUCGGCUCCGAGUAAAGCGGCGGACGGGUGCGUAACACGUGGAUAAUCUGCCUCGUGGCGGGGGACAACAGUCCGAAAGGACUGCUAAUACCGCAUGUCAGGUCGGAAACUCCGGUUUCUGACGAAAAAGAGGGCACCCGCAAGGGGCUCUCACCACGAGAUGAGUCCGCGUCCCAUCAGCUAGUUGGCGGUGUAAUAGACCACCAAGGCUUAGACGGGUAGCUGGUCUGAGAGGAUGACCAGCCACACUGGGACUGAGACACGGCCCAGACUCCUACGGGAGGCAGCAGUGGGGAAUAUUGGACAAUGGGCGAAAGCCUGAUCCAGCCAUGCCGCGUGAGUGAUGAAGGCCU
rnacentral:rRNA from 1 species